UACGGGGGGGGCAAGCGUUUGUUCGGAAUUACUGGGCGUAAAGGGCUCGUAGGCGGCCAACUAAGUCAGACGUGAAAUCCCUCGGCUUAACCGGGGAACUGCGUCUGAUACUGGAUGGCUUGAGUUCGGGAGAGGGAUGCGGAAUUCCAGGUGUAGCGGUGAAAUGCGUAGAUAUCUGGAGGAAUACCGGUGGCGAAGGCGGCAUCCUGGACCGACAUUGACGCUGAUGAGCGAAAGCUAGGGGAGCAAACGGG
rnacentral:rRNA from 1 species